rnacentral:rRNA from 1 species
CAGUCGCCGCGGGAAUACGUAGGGUGCAAGCGUUAAUCGGAAUUACUGGGCGUAAAGCGUGCGCAGGCGGUUAUAUAAGACAGAUGUGAAAUCCCCGGGCUCAACCUGGGAACUGCAUUUGUGACUGUAUAGCUAGAGUACGGCAGAGGGGGAUGGAAUUCCGCGUGUAGCAGUGAAAUGCGUAGAUAUGCGGAGGAACACCGAUGGCGAAGGCAAUCCCCUGGGCCUGUACUGACGCUCAUGCACGAAAGCGUGGGGAGCAAACAGGAUUAGAGACCCCUGUAGUCCCUGUCUCUUAUAC